UACGGGGGGGGUAAGCGUUGUUCGGAAUUACUGGGCGUAAAGGGCUCGUAGGCGGCCAACUAAGUCAUACGUGAAAUCCCUCAGCUUAACUGGGGAACUGCGUGUGAUACUGGAUGGCUUGGAUUCGGGAGAGGGAUGCGGAAUUCCAGGUGUAGCGGUGAAAUGCGCAGAUAUCAGGAGGAACACCGGUGGCGAAGGCGGAUCUCUGGGCCUUACCUGACGCUCAGGUGCGAAAGCUAGGGGAGCGAACAGG
rnacentral:rRNA from 1 species